GAGUGUUUGAACAGGUAACUUCUACCUUUGGACCUUGAUUGCAACAGGUUCAAAGUUUCUAGAGGAGCUUGCUGAGCACCCUGAGGUCUGGAUGCAGUGCUUCAAGGUGUAGCCCAGUCCCAGGAGUUGUAGAAAAGGCAGGAGUAACUGAAUGCAGUGCUGAGCCAAUACAGCCAGUUGUUAGAGGAGCUUUCCUGCAUCCAGAGCCCUGGUCAGAUCCUGAUCAGUAUUCCUAUGAGGUCAGGAAAGGAGAAAACUAUGGAUAGAGAGAGGAAAGAUGAACUCAGUGAAGUACCAGCACGUACUAAGCACUCUUAUUUAAUCAAGACAAUCUUUUGAGGUGGGUGAUUGUGUCACUUUAGGGUUGGGAAAGUAAGCAGGGCAGAGAGGCAAAGCAACAAUCUCCAGGGUCACAAAGCGAGCAAGUUGUCAAAAUGGGACUGAAACUGCUGUCAGUGUGAUGCUGAAAAACUGUCCUUCAUCCACACACAUAAAGUGCGUUAGCCUUCCUUCAGAUUUCCCAGAAAAUUUAAAUUUGUGAAAAAGAUUUUCGUGGUAGGAUGAUCUGAACAGUAGGUAUUGAAUUCACAUAUUUAUAACCUUUGUUUCAGGUUGAAACAUUUAGAACCCCAAAUGUUACAACUACUAUUCAAUGAACAUUUUCUAGAAAGCUAUACUUUGCUUCAUGUUUUAUGGAGAUUUUACUUUUUGACCUUCAAAACAGUCCUAUGAGAUAGCUACUUUAUUUCAUACACAAGAAAAGUGAGGCUUAGCAAUAAAGCCACAAACACUCUAGGAUUAGAUUGGAUCUGGAAGUUAAACUCUGGUUCUUUUAAUUCGAAGGUGAUCUCUGCCUGUUUCUGAUGAAUCUAGUUUAGUACAUAGGCCAAAGAAUUAGGGACUGGAAGAAACUUGUCUUUUGAAAAUCCUCCCAUCUUGGCUCCAUUGAGACAGAAAAUCAACUGGUAGUAGUCAGGGGUUGGGGAGAGAGAGAUGCAGAGGCCGACUGCUUCAUGGUACAGGGUUUCCUUUGGGGGUAAUGAGAAUGUUUUAGAACUAGGUAGAAGUGGUGGUUGCGUGACAGUAUGAAUGUACUAAAUUCUUAGAACACUUUGAAAUGGUUAGUUUUUGUUACGUGAAUUACACCUAAAAAAGUAUCCUCUCACCUUUAGGGCUGGUGUGUCCCAAAUCAGGAUUUGGCUAUUUUUUUAGAAACCAAGGGUGCAGUUCCUGCAGAUACACUGACCCUUGUUAGGUGUGCCCAGAGGCGACUCUUGAGUCUGGCAGAGACCUGCAAAGGUAGCCUAGUGCCAGCGACCACAAGCUUAGCCAUCAUGGUUUUCACCUCAUCCCUCUGUAAAUAAGUCGAGAUGUUUCCCCAAAUCCUGAGGUCAGAAGUGAGCUCUUUCCCCUUGUACAGGGCCUCACACUUCCUAGGUUCUCAAAUCCUAGGGAUUGAAUCAAUCUAUGAGUUUUUGGAGAUUGAAAGAUCAGAGAACCCAUGUACUGCAGUUACCCAGCUAGGGAAAAGUCUGUUGGGGCUGGUUAUAGAUCUCUCUGCCUCCCCCAGUCAUUCUAUUCUGAGAGCAGUGGGGUUGGGAGUGGUUUGUAGGAGGACACCGGGAAGGGGAAGAGGGGCUGGGUCAAGAUAAGAACACGCCUCCUCCAACUAGCAGUGCUGUAAUAGAAACAAGGAGUUGUUAAGACUCUCGCAUGUCAGUAGAACGAAGAUCGUGAUAGUCUCUUCUUUUGUAACAGAGCAUCUGAUGCUACUGGAAGAAGGAAGAGAGAGUUCGUCUUUACUGAGGACUCUAUGUAGCCAAUAGUAUACUAGAAACUACACACAUUAUCCCGUCUGUGUGCAGUUAAGGAGUUCUGAUGCUCAAUGGCACUAAGUAACUGUCCUCAGGGCCACCUGGCCGGUAAGUGGUGGAGCUGCUGCUCUGCCAUCUGGAGAAGUGAUGGCCUUGAAAGUUGGCCUCUGAAAAUAAGAGUAUUGGCAAUAAAGCUGGCUGCUUGUUCUUUGAGUCUGGUGACUCUUGACCAUUGGUCCAGCCAGGUAGCACGAGGGCUGAUUCUGCAAAGAACUGAGGCAGAAAGGCCUUUUUCACAAGCACUUGCAUCACCUGGUCUUAAUCCUGGCAGUGUUAAUGGAGACUCAGCACUUUGUCCAGCCUAUCUUUUUACAGACCUUCUUAUCAAAUCCAGUGGACUUGUGAUACUGGUUCUCCUUACCUUGCUUUUCUCAUAGAUCACUUGGUCAGCAGUAGGCUUGGGUGCCCUUGAGGCCAUGUACCUUGACAAGACUUCCCUCAGGAUGGAGCUACUGAGAUUUGACUGAGAUUUGUUGAAGCACAGUGCUAGAUGAAAGUUGGCCAUAUCAACCUGAGCACCAGUGGGAUUUGUCACUUCUUAUCUCCACCCCCAGGGGUGGCUCCCCACUAUCCUACUAGAUUCAGGAGAAAUGAACGAAACAGUUUUCUGCCCCCGGACCACUCCUCAGGCUGAAGGGUUCUGUGCCUGCCAUGCGUUUUACACAGCAGCAUGAGCGCUCGGCUGAGCGUAGGAAGUGGGUUUCAUGGUGGAAACUCAAGGUUGUUGGAAACAAAUCUUGGAUAUAUUCCCAGGUGUAUUCACAUGAAAUGCCCUCACCUAGCAAUCAGAAGAUUUAAAGUCAGCUGCCUGAUCCAGAGUUGAGAUAAUAUGGAGUUGUACAUACUAUUGUUUAGCAAACAAAACAAAAUACAUAUUUCAGAUUAAACAAUGCGCACCAUCAAGGGUUACUUUCCCACUGAGACCAGUUCUGGCUUCUCUAAUUCAAACUCACUCCCCUGUUGUGCCCCAGCUCCCUUUCCUUACCUAUUCUUGCUAUUGUUGUUUUUGUUCCAUUUUAUAAUAAUGUAGUCAUUGUACAGGCUUGUUGUCAAACUCCCCAAUAGAAAAAAAAAUCUCACAAGGGCAGGAUUUUCACCACUGUAUCCUCAGCACCAGGAAGGAUGCCUGAGACAGAGUCAAGCCCUUCAGUAUUCUUUGACUGAAUGAUUGAAUACCUAAGACUUUCUGGAAAAUCCUUUCCUAACUUCUCUGCCAUCUGUCUUUUCCUAUGCGGGUUAUCCUUUCAGCAAUGCAAAUGCAUAUAAACUCAUCAUAAUUGGGAUCGUACUGUACUGUACACUCUUGUCCACAUGUUCUUUCUUUCUUUCUUUUUUUUUUUUUUUUUUUGGUACCAGGGAUCGAACUUGGGUCCUUGCACUUGCAGGGCAGGCAGCGCAUGUUCUUUCUUUUUUACUUGGCAAUAGAUCAUGGAGCUGUUUUCCUAUCAGCACAUACAGACCUCUGCCUGCCGGGAGGUCCGUUCUUCAAAAGUGCUAUAAUUUCCCUGAGUUACACCUUUCAGGGAGGAUUUGCCUGGGCUUUUGCUAAGGUUUGAGAGGAGGUAGCAGAGAUGGCUGUAAGCACAUCACAUGUGCAUUUACUCCUAAAGCACAGUGACAGCCUUAUCAUGGAGAUAUUAUGAUUGCCAUUUGACAGGUGAGAAGCCACACAGAGGUUAUCUGCCACAGGCCACAGAGAGGGUGCUAAGUAGGGCUUGACCCCAUGUAGUCUGACUCAAGAGACCAAAUGCUUAAUCAGUACAUUGUGCAUCCCCCAUGAGGCACUUUCUUGAGCUGAGGUCUUCCUACAGGGUAAAUUGAUGGUACAAUCAAAAGAUGUUUGGCCUUACCACAUUUUAAAUUGUGGUAGGAGCCAAUGGGCUCAUAUCUGAGAGGCUGCAUGCAUUUCAUUUUCCACAGUUAAUAAUUAAUAAUUAAAUAAUAAAUUAUAAUAAAUAAAUAAUAAAUAAUUUAUGAUUAAUAAUUAAAUUAGCUCUUUGCCUAUCUGGCUAUUUGAUACUUUUUUCCACUUUAGAUUUUGUGUCUGUUAUCCUUUCUGCAAGUUCAAUAUUUUUAAAUAUUCUUCUCCAAUCAAACUUGCCACCAUGUUCAUUUCUAGAUUUCAGGUUUUAUGUCUACUUUUUGUUUUUCCCAUACCAUCAGUAUAAAAACG
ensembl:lncRNA